rnacentral:rRNA from 1 species
UGGCGGACGGGUGAGUAACGCGUGGGUAACCUGCCCUGUACAGGGGGACAACAGUUAGAAAUGACUGCUAAUACCGCAUAAGCGCACAGGACCGCAUGGUCCGGUGUGAAAAACUCCGGUGGUACAGGAUGGACCCGCGUCUGAUUAGGUAGUUGGCGGGGUAACGCCCACCAAGCCGACGAUCAGUAGCCGACCUGAGAGGGUGACCGGCCACAUUGGGACUGAGACACGGCCCAAACUCCUACGGGAGGCAGCAG